rfam:Gemmatimonadetes bacterium 13_2_20CM_2_66_5 13_2_20cm_2_scaffold_1749, whole genome shotgun sequence.
GGCAGGGUAGCUCAGCCUGGUGAGAGCACGGCACUCAUAAUGCCGGGGUCGUGGGUUCGAAUCCCACCCCUGCUA